AACGAACGCUGGCGGCGUGCCUAACACAUGCAAGUCGAACGAGAAAGGGGCUUCGGCUCCGAGUAAAGUGGCGCACGGGUGAGUAACACGUAGGUAACCUGCCUCUAAGAUUGGGAUAACUUGUCGAAAGAUGAGCUAAUACCAAAUAAGACCACGGUUUCCUCGGGGACAGGGGUCAAAGGUAGCCUCUAUUUAUAAGCUAUCGCUGAGAGAUGGGCCUGCGUACCAUUAGCUAGUUGGGAGGUAACGGCUCACCAAGGCAAAGAUGGUUAGCUGGUCUGAGAGGAUGAUCAGCCACACUGGAACUGAGACACGGUCCAGACUCCUACGGAGGCAGCAGUGGGGAAUAUUGCGCAAUGGGCGAAAGCCUGACGCAGCAACGCCGCGUGAGUGAUGAAA
rnacentral:rRNA from 1 species